UAGUAAUGACGUAUUGAAAAUGGAUGACCUGAAAUUAAAAUGAGGACAACAUGUUUCACUGAAAUA